GAUGAACGCUGGCGGCGUGCCUAAUACAUGCAAGUCGAGCGAACAGAAGAGGAGCUCUUUCUUCUGACGUUAGCGGCGGACGGGUGAGUAACACGUGGAUGACCUACCUACAAGACUGGGAUAACUUCGGGAAACAGAAGCUAAUACCGGCCACUUUAUUGAACCGCAUGGUUCAAUAGUGUAAGCCGGUAUUGCUCUCACUUAUAUAUGGAUCCGUGCCGAUUUAGCUAGUUGGGAAGGUAACGGCUUACCAAAGUAACGAUGCGUAGCCGACCGGAGUGGAUGAUCGGCCACACUGGAACUGAGACACGGUCCAGACUCCUACGGGAGGCAGCGGUAGGGAAUCUUCCGCAAUGGGCGAAAGCCUGACGGAGCAACGCCGCGUGAGGGAUGAAGGGCUUCGGAUCGUAAAACUCUGUUAUUAGGGAAGAACAAAUGUGUAAGUAACUAUGCACGUCUUGACGGUACCUAAUCAGAAAGCCACGGCUAACUACGUG
rnacentral:rRNA from 1 species